rnacentral:lncRNA from 1 species
CUUUGGCGUCUACUAGCAUGAUGAUGCUGGUAUGCAUGCUCACAUGAGACUAGAUUUACGCGUUAUCUUUUUGCACUUCUGCCUUCAUGUGUUAAUAAAGGUUCACCGAACAACUAAUAGAAUACAUGAGAUAUUGAGAUUUGACCACAUGCUUGCGUGCGAGUCCAUGUAUUUGCACCUAUCCUGCAUACUCAAAUGUUAUAGAAGCCAGAACAAACUGAAGCGCGCGGUUUGAGUGUCGUGCUGGAUCAUCAAGAGAUGACUUCGCAACCGUAGAGCUUAGUCCCCAACAGCUGCACAUUAUCUAAAUUUUGGUCUCUUGAGCACUCUAGAACGAUUGGAACAUUGCACCCGACUCCUGUGAGAGUUGAAGCUAGUUUACGAACUUAGGUCAGCUGUUCAGGUGAAGACUGGAGACAGUUGAGUAAAUCUUGUUUCCUGUUCCGUAGCAAAUUGUUCAGUGGCCACAAGGCAACUCGCCACAUCUCAGAGGCAGACCCAGCCUCUCGGGCCCAAAACCUGUGUCUCCAAAGACAAAAAAAAAAAAACAAGUACAGGGUAGACACGAUGAAAAUUUGGAAUCUAUCCCUAAACCAAUGGAGUUAGCUGAUAGAUUUGAUGAUGAAUUUGGCAAAGCAUUUCACACCGCCGAGGACUGCGGC